UACGUAGGGUGCAAGCGUUGUCCGGAAUUAUUGGGCGUAAAGAGCUCGUAGGCGGUUUGUCGCGUCGGCUGUGAAAGCCCGGAGCUCAACUCCGGGUCUGCAGUCGAUACGGGGCAGACUUGAGUGUUGCAGGGGAGACUGGAAUUCCUGGUGUAGCGGUGAAAUGCGCAGAUAUCAGGAGGAACACCGGUGGCGAAGGCGGGUCUCUGGGCAACAACUGACGCUGAGGAGCGAAAGCGUGGGGGAGCGAACAGGG
rnacentral:rRNA from 1 species